UACGGAGGGUGCAAGCGUUAUCCGGAUUCACUGGGUUUAAAGGGUGCGUAGGAGGGCAGGUAAGUCAGUGGUGAAAUCUUCGAGCUUAACUCGGAACUGCCGUUGAUACUAUCUGUCUUGAAUACCGUGGAGGUGAGGCGGAAUAUGUCAUGUAGCGGUGAAAUGCUUAGAUAUGACAUAGAACACCAAUUGCGAAGGCAGCUCGCUACACGAAUAUUGACUCUGAGGCACGAAAGCGUGGGGAUCAAACAGG
rnacentral:rRNA from 1 species